rnacentral:rRNA from 1 species
UACGUAGGGUCCGAGCGUUGUCCGGAAUUAUUGGGCGUAAAGGGCUCGUAGGCGGUUUGUUGCGUCGGGAGUGAAAACUUACAGCUUAACUGUGAGCGUGCUUCCGAUACGGGCAGACUUGAGGUAUUCAGGGGAGAACGGAAUUCCUGGUAUAGCGGUGAAAUGCGCAGAUAUCAGGGAGGAACACCGGUGGCGAAGGCGGGAUUCUCCUGGGAAUAGUCCUGAACGCUGGAGGAAGCGGAAAGUGUCGGGGAGCGAACAGGA